CUACUGCGACAACAACUGCAGCCGGCUCUUGUGGAUUCAUCCUCCACAGCGCCACAUUAGCACGGAUGCAGAAGAAGGUGACGAGUAGGAGCAUGCCCAACAGAGCCGCGGUGCGGAGAAGGUAAGAAACCUCUGGAAAUCCAUACAUUUGAAGAACGACCCCGAUGAGUUGCGCCAACAUCGCCACACUGAACAACGCUACAGCCGCCCACCAGAGUAGCGGCCACCAACGAACGCGAUCUUCCACAUCAUCCUUGACCUAUCGCAUUUGACA
rnacentral:lncRNA from 1 species